rnacentral:rRNA from 1 species
CACGUAGGGGGCGAGCGUUGUCCGGAUUUAUUGGGCGUAAAGAGCUCGUAGGCGGUUCGGCAAGUCGGGUGUGAAAUUUCGAGGCUCAACCUCGAAACGCCACUCGAUACUGCUGUGACUGGAGUCCGGUAGAGGAGUGCGGAAUUCCUGGUGUAGCGGUGAAAUGCGCAGAUAUCAGGAGGAACACCACCGGCGAAGGCAGCACUCUGGGCCGGUACUGACGCUGAGGAGCGAAAGCGUGGGGAGCAAACAGG